rnacentral:lncRNA from 1 species
CCAAAUCAUCAUCAUCUGCACCACAUCAUCAUUGCCCCAAACAUCACUCAUAAAAACCACAGACUCAUCAUCCUAAACCUGCCAAUAACUACCCUCUUCAUCUUAUCUGCUGCCCAAUAACUAACAUAAUUGGCCCAAUUAAUAAAGAAUAAUUGGAGAUUUUUUUUUUUUUUUUUUGAUAAGCAAAGGAUAUGCAUUAAACAAGGCGAACCGCCGCAAAGUAUACAGGAAGUAUACAAGGCAGCUAGGGCCUCAAAAAACAAAGACAAAAGAAUCACCUCCCUUUAAGUGGAAGCUAUCCACUCUAGGAAGCCUAUAAGCGAGAACGCCUCCUCACCUACAUACAAUUUGGCCCAACUCCACAAAUUACAGACAAAAAAAUUCUUUAACUUUUGAACGUUCAAACCCCCCCCCCCUAAAUGCUAAUCUAUUCCUCUCCUUCCACACCGUCCAAAAAAUACACAACGGAAUGGCAUCCCAUAUCUUUUUCCUUUUCUUUCCCACGAAUGAUCCCCUCCAACUAGCUAAAACCUCCUUUACAUUUUCAGGAAAAACCCAUUUCACAUCAACUAAACCAAAAACAAUAUCCCAUAAAGCUCUAACCACUGUACAAUGUAUAAGGAUAUGAUUUACACUUUCUUCCUCACAUCCACACAAGAAGCAACGAUUUGGAAGUUGUAGCCCUCUUCUUUGAAGUCUAUCCAAAGUAAGCACCUUCCCCCAUGUCGCCUCCCAUGCAAAAAAAGCAACUUUAGUUGGCACCCUUGCCACCCAAAUGCUUCUUGAAGGAAAACCUAUAUCAUCAGACUUCGCCAACAAACUAUAAGAAUAAUUGGAGAUUUCACUGCCAAAUGAACUAAAGUUUGGAGGGCUUUAAUCUUCUAGGAAGCAAUGAUUUCCAAGGUUUACACCAAACAAUUAAAAAUUUCAAAGAAAAUUUCUUUCUUCCUAUAACAACUUUUGCACCAUAAUGGCAUUUACAAUGCAAAUUCUUUGACUUUGAAUCAAACAAAACCUAACAGUAAAAAUUUCAUUGGUAUGUGUAAUGUAAACAAGAUAAAUACAUACUCUUCACUAGUGAGGGUCCAUUUUUGUACAUAACUUCAAAGCAAUCUCCUAGCCAUAUGUAGAUAGUACCAUCUUAAUGUUUCCACAUUCUGGCUCCAAAACAUCCACAUGCAUAGGGAUAACAUACUUGAAUCCAUCAAAUGAUACUUCUAAGUGUUGAUUGAGUCUGUAGGUCCAAAAAAUGUGAAGC